rnacentral:rRNA from 1 species
GGGUGAAAGGCCAAACAAACCCGGAGAUAGCUGGUUCUCUCCGAAAUCUAUUUAGGUAGAGCGUCAUGUAUUACUUCUGGGGGUAGAGCACUGUUAUGGCUAGCGGGUCGUCAAGACUUAGUAAACCAUUGCAAACUCCGAAUACCAGAAAGUAUAAGCAUGGCAGACACACUGCGGGUGCUAACGUCCGUAGUGGAAAGGGAAACAACCCAGACCGUCAGCUAAGGUCCCAAAAUUAUAGUUAAGUGGGAAACGAUGUGAAAAGGCCCAGACAGCCAGGAGGUUGGCUUAGAAGCAGCCAUUCCUUUAAAGAGUGCGUAAUAGCUCACUGGUCGAGUCGGUUUGCGCGGAAGAUUUAACGGGGCUAAACUAUAUACCGAAGCUGCGGAUCGCAAUUUAUUGCGAUGGUAGGAGAGCGUUCUGUAAGCCGUUGAAGGUGAACUGAGAGGUUUGCUGGAGGUAUCAGAAGUGCGAAUGCUGACAUGAGUAACGAUAAAGGGGGUGAAAAACCCCCUCGCCAGAAGUCCAAGGUUUCCUACGCAACGUUAAUCGGCGUAGGGUUAGUCGGCCCCUAAGGCGAGGCAGAAAUGCGUAGUCGAUGGGAAACGGGUUAAUAUUCCCGUACUUCAUAUAACUGCGAUGGGAAGACGGAGAAGGUUAGCUCAGCAAGGCGAUGGUUGUCCUUGUUCAAGCGUGUAGAAAUGGUUCUUAGGAAAAUCCGGGAACCUCUAUUUCAAGGCGUGAUAACGAUCCCUCUUUUGGGAGAAGUGAGUAAUACCAUACUUCCAGGAAAAUCCUCUAAGCUUCAGGUUAUAUGAAACCGUACCCCAAACCGACACAGGUGGACGAGAUGAGAAUUCUAAGGCGCUUGAGAGAACUCGGGUGAAGGAACUAGGCAAAAU